rnacentral:rRNA from 1 species
GCCUAAUACAUGCAAGUCGAGCGAACGGACGAGAAGCUUGCUUCUCUGAUGUUAGCGGCGGACGGGUGAGUAACACGUGGAUAACCUACCUAUAAGACUGGGAUAACUUCGGGAAACCGGAGCUAAUACCGGAUAAUAUUUUGAACCGCAUGGUUCAAAAGUGAAAGACGGUCUUGCUGUCACUUAUAGAUGGAUCCGCGCUGCAUUAGCUAGUUGGUAAGGUAACGGCUUACCAAGGCAACGAUGCAUAGCCGACCUGAGAGGGUGAUCGGCCACACUGGAACUGAGACACGGUCCAGACUCCUACGGGAGGCAGCAGUAGGGAAUCUUCCGCAAUGGGCGAAAGCCUGACGGAGCAACGCCGCGUGAGUGAUGAAGGUCUUCGGAUCGUAAAACUCUGUUAUUAGGGAAGAACAUAUGUGUAAGUAACUGUGCACAUCUUGACGGUACCUAAUCAGAAAGCCACGGCUAACUACGUGCCAGCAGCCGCGGUAAUACGUAGGUGGCAAGCGUUAUCCGGAAUUAUUGGGCGUAAAGCGCGCGUAGGCGGUUUUUUAAGUCUGAUGUGAAAGCCCACGGCUCAACCGUGGAGGGUCAUUGGAAACUGGAAAACUUGAGUGCAGAAGAGGAAAGUGGAAUUCCAUGUGUAGCGGUGAAAUGCGCAGAGAUAUGGAGGAACACCAGUGGCGAAGGCGACUUUC